rnacentral:rRNA from 1 species
AAUAUUGCGCAAUGGAGGGAACUCUGACGCAGCGACGCCGCGUGAGCGAUGAAGGUUUUCUGAUCGUAAAGAUCUGUCCUUGGGGAAGAAGGCGGCCAUUUUUGGCCACUUUACGGUACCCAAGGAGGAAGGCUCGGCUAACUCCGUGCAGCCAGCCGCGGUAAAACGUAGGGGGCAAGCGUUGUACGGAAUCAUUGGGCGUAAAGGGUGCGUAGGCGGCCUUUUAAUGCAGAUGUGAAAGACCACGGCUUAACCGUGGGGUUGCAUUUGAAACUGGAGGGCUUGAGUAUCGGAGAGGGUAGUGGAAUUCCCAGUGUAGCGGUGGAAUGCGUAGAUAUUGGGAGGAACACCAGUGGCGAAGGCGACUACCUGGACGAAAACUGACGCUGAGGCACGAAAGCUAGGGGAGCAAAC